rnacentral:lncRNA from 1 species
AGAGAAAGAGAGUGAGAGGAGAAAGUAGCUCUGAAGUUGAAAGCCCAAGAAGGAGUUCUUGAGCUGUGAAGGUCCAUCUUCUUCCUUCUUCUCCCUUUCAGCCAACUUUUUGCCUUCCUGCGAGCUAGCACUUCCCAGAAAGCUGAUCAUUCCGGAGCUUCGCGUGGACGAAUCAUCGAGGCCGGACGCUUGUGCGGCUGCGAAGCAUCCUUGAAGGAAUCUCCUUCAAAAGGUAAGAGAUCUGAUCUCUUUUACGGUUGAGAUAUGAUCUCAAUCUUCAAAUCACAAGAAGUUGUGAUUUAUGUAUAUUUAUUUGAA